rnacentral:rRNA from 1 species
UACGUAGGGUGCAAGCGUUGUCCGGAAUUAUUGGGCGUAAAGGGCUCGUAGGCGGUCCGUCACGUCGGGGAGUGAAAAACUUGGGGCUUAACCCCAAGCCUGCUUCCGAUACGGGCGGACUAGAGGUAGGCAGGGGAGAACGGAAUUCCUGGUGUAGCGGUGAAAUGACGCAGAUAAUCAGGAGGGAAACACCCGGGUGGGCGAAAGGGCGGGUCUCUGGGCCCG